rnacentral:rRNA from 1 species
AGUGAACGCUGGCGGUAGGCCUAACACAUGCGAGUCGAACGGCAGCACAGUAAGAGCUUGCUCUUACGGGUGGCGAGUGGCGGACGGGUGAGGAAUACAUCGGAAUCUACUUUUUCGUGGGGGAUAACGUAGGGAAACUUACGCUAAUACCGCAUACGACCUACGGGUGAAAGCAGGGGAUCUUCGGACCUUGCGCGAUUGAAUGAGCCGAUGUCGGAUUAGCUAGUUGGCGGGGUAAGGGCCCACCAAGGCGACGAUCCGUAGCUGGUCUGAGAGGAUGAUCAGCCACACUAGAACUGAGACACGGUCCAGACUCCUACGGGAGGCAGCAGUGGGGAAUAUUGGACAAUGGGCGCAAGCCUGAUCCAGCCAUACCGCGUGGGUGAAGAAGGCCUUCGGGUUGUAAAGCCCUUUUGUUGGGAAAGAAAAGCAGCAGGUUAAUACCCCGCUGUUCUGACGGUACCCAAAGAAUAAGCACCGGCUAACUUCGUG